rnacentral:rRNA from 1 species
CUGUCUCUUUUUUAAUAAUUUGAAUUUACUUUGUAAGUGAGAAAGCUUACUGUUUGAAGAGGGAGGAGAAGACCCUUAGAAUUUUGCUUAAGUGUUUAAUCAUACUGGUUUUGUUGGGGUGACAAAGAAAUAUAUUAAAACUUUCUUUAAAAUACUUGCCGAUUAUAUUAAGUAAGAAUAAAUUACCUGAGGGAUAACAGCAUAAUUCUAUAUUUGAGUUUGUGACCUCGAUGUUGGACUAGGAAACUAGUAAGCUAGCCGUUUGCUUUGUGGGUUCUGUUCGAACUUAAUUCCU